AGGCAACCUGGAAGCCAACAUGGGUGUUAAUAUCCUGAUAGGAGCCACAGGUCGAGACCUGUCCCAGGAAAAUCCAUAUUUACCCACUUGGAAGCCUAUGUAGAGUUCACCUCCUAUGGAAUAUACUGAACCUUGCUAUGCCAAGGCCCCAUGAAACUCAGAAGAGACAGAAGAAGAAAAAAAAAACUACAACUCUCCUUGUUCAAUGAUAUUUUGGUUGUGUCUAAUAACCUGUGAGUAUGUCCCUCAUGCCUGCCAUACUAUUAGAGGCUACACUUUGAUUAGGCUUUACUGUGCAGAAAUAAAAUAGUUUUUGAUUUA